rnacentral:rRNA from 1 species
GUUGAACGCUGGCGGCGUGCCUAAUACAUGCAAGUCGAGCGAACGGACGAGAAGCUCUCUUUUCUGAUGUUAGCGGCGGACGGGUGAGUAACACGUGGAUAACCUACCUAUAAGACUGGGAUAACUUCGGGAAACCGGAGCUAAUACCGGAUAAUAUUUUGAACCGCAUGGUUCAAAAGUGAAAGACGGUCUUGCUGUCACUUAUAGAUGGAUCCUCGCUGCAUUAGCUAGUUGGUAAGGUAACGGCUUACCAAGGCAACGAUGCAUAGCCGACCUGAGAGGGUGAUCGGCCACACUGGAACUGAGACACGGUCCAGACUCCUACGGGAGGCAGCAGUAGGGAAUCUUCCGCAAUGGGCGAAAGCCUGACGGAGCAACGCCGCGUGAGUGAUGAAGGUCUUCGGAUCGUAAAACUCUGUUAGUAGGGAAGAACAUAUGUGUAAGUAACUGUGCAUAUCUUGACGGUACCUACUCAGAAAGCAACGGCUAACUACGUG